rnacentral:rRNA from 1 species
GAGUUUGAUCCUGGCUCAGAUUGAACGCUGGCGGCAUGCCUUACACAUGCAAGUCGAACGGCAGCACGGGAGCUUGCUCCUGGUGGCGAGUGGCGAACGGGUGAGUAAUGCAUCGGAACGUAUCCUGGAGUGGGGGAUAACGUAGCGAAAGUUACGCUAAUACCGCAUAUUCUGUGAGCAGGAAAGCGGGGGACCUUCGGGCCUCGCGCUCUUGGAGCGGCCGAUGUCGGAUUAGCUAGUUGGUGAGGUAAAGGCUCACCAAGGCGACGAUCCGUAGCAGGUCUGAGAGGAUGAUCUGCCACACUGGAACUGAGACACGGUUCAGACUCCUACGGGAGGCAGCAGUGGGAAUUUGGACAAUAGGGGGCAACCCUGAUCCAGCCAUGCCGCGUGAGUGAAGAAGGCC